UGCAUCAGUGAUGAGUUUGGCUCCCUCUACUGAAUAAAGUCUGAGGAAAAUGCCAAAAUUGUUACCCAAAUAUCUGAGAUGCA